rnacentral:snoRNA from 1 species
AAGUCAUGAAUGAUGAUAAUUACCUGUCAGAUUAUAAUAAUGUUGAUAUCUGCGUUUUAGUCUUUCGCUCCUAUCUGACAUGACUU